UACCAGCACCCCGAGUGGUCGGGACGAUUAUUGGGCCUAAAGCAUCCGUAGCCGGUUCUACAAGUCUUCCGUUAAAUCCACCUGCUUAACAGAUGGGCUGCGGAGGAUACUAUAGAGCUAGGAGGCGGGAGAGGCAAGCGGUACUUAGUGGGUAGGGGUAAAAUCCGUUGAUCCAUUGAAGACCACCAGUGGCGAAGGCGGCUUGCCAGAACGCACUCGACGGUGAGGGAUGAAAGCUGGGGGAGCAAACCGGAUUAGAUACCCGGGUAGUCCCAGCUGUAAACGAUGCAGACUCGGUGAUGAAUAGGCUUCGUGCCUAUUCAGUGCCGCAGGGAAGCCGUUAAGUCUGCCGCCUGGGGAGUACGGUCGCAAGACUGAA
rnacentral:rRNA from 1 species